rnacentral:rRNA from 1 species
UCGGGAAUUUUGGGCAAUGGGCGAAAGCCUGACCCAGCAACGCCGCGUGAGGGAUGAAGUAUUUCGGUAUGUAAACCUCGAAAGAAUGGGAAGAAUAAAUGACGGUACCAUUUAUAAGCUCCGGCUAACUACGUGCCAGCAGCCGCGGUAAUACGUAGGGAGCAAGCGUUGUUCGGAUUUACUGGGCGUAAAGGGCGCGUAGGCGGCGCGGUAAGUCACUUGUGAAAUCUCUGAGCUUAACUCAGAACGGCCAAGCGAUACUGCUGGGCUAGAGUGCGGAAGAGGUAACCGGAAUUCUUGGUGUAGCGGUGAAAUGCGUAGAUAUCAAGAGGAACACCUGAGGCGAAGGCGGGUUGCUGGGCCGACACUGACGCUGAUGCGCGAAAGCCAGGGGAGCAAAC